rnacentral:rRNA from 1 species
AACGAACGCUGACGGCGUGGAUUAGGCAUGCAAGUCGUACGAUCUACUUCGGUAGAGAGUGGCAAACUGGUGAGUAACGCGUGGGUAACCAACCCUAAACCUGGGGAUAACACCGCGAAAGUGGUGCUAAUACCGAAUGUGAUCCUGAUGUACUUCAGGAUUAAAGGAGGCCUCUUCUUGAAAGCUUCCGGUUUUGGAUGGGCCUGCGUCCUAUUAGCUUGUUGGUGGGGUAAAAGCCUACCAAGGCGACGAUGGGUACCCGGGCUGAGAGGCUGGUCGGGCACAUUGGGACUGAGAUACUGCCCAAACUCCUACGGGAGGCUGCAGUCGAGAAUAUUUCGCAAUGGGGGAAACCCUGACGACGCGACGCCGUGUGUGGGAUGAAGGUCUUCGGAUUGUAAACCACUGUCACAAGGGAAGAAAAAACAGAUGUUAAUAGCAUCUGUCUUGACAUUAUCUUGAGAGGAAGCCCCGGCUAACUCCGUGCCAGCAGCCGCGGUAAUACGGAGGGGGCAAGCGUUGUUCGGAUUUACUGGGCGUAAAGGGUGUGUAGGCGGGUAUAUAAGUGAAACGUGAAAGCCUGCGGCUUAACCGUAGAAUUGCGUUUCAAACUAUAUACCUUGAGUACAGGGGAAGUAAGUGGAAUUCUCAGUGUAGCGGUGAAAUGCGUAGAUAUUGAGAAGAACACCAGAGGUGAAGACGGCUUACUAUCCUGAUACUGACGCUGAGGCACGAAGGCUAGGGGAGCAAACAGGAUUAGAUACCCUGGUAGUCCUAGCAGUAAACGAUGUCAACUUGGUGUGGGGGGUUUCGACCUUUUCCGUGCCGUAGCUAACGCGUUAAGUUGACCGCCUGGGGAGUACGGCCGCAAGGCUAAAACUCAAAGAAAUUGACGGGGGCCCGCACAAGCGGUGGAGCAUGUGGUUUAAUUCGAAGCAACGCGAAGAACCUUACCUGGGCUUGACAUGUAUUGGAUCGGCUGUGAGAGCAGCUUUCCCUUCGGGGCUGAUACACAGGUGUUGCAUGGCUGUCGUCAGCUCGUGUCGUGAGAUGUUGGGUUAAGUCCCGCAACGAGCGCAACCCCUAUUUCCAGUUACCAGCAAGUGAUGUUGGGUACUUUGGAGAGACCGCCGGUGACAAACCGGAGGAAGGUGGGGAUGACGUCAAGUCAUUAUGGCCCUUACGUCCAGGGCUACACACGUGCUACAAUGGCCGGUACAGAGGGAAGCAAUACCGCGAGGUGGAGCAAAUCCUAGAAAACCGGCCCCAGUUCGGAUUGGAGUCUGCAACUCGACUCCAUGAAGUCGGAAUCGCUAGUAACGGCAGAUCAGCUACGCUGCCGUGAAUACGUUCCCGGGCCUUGUACACACCGCCCGUCACAUCAUGAAAGUUGAUUCCACCCGAAGUCGCUAUACCAACCCUUACGGGAGGAAAGCGCCGAAGGUGAGAUUGAUGAUUGGGAUG